AAAAAUUGGAGGGGCAAAACACCACAAAAACCCUAAUCCCCAAAAUCAAAGCAAAAUCAGUGUUCGAAGAGGCGAAGGGAGAGGAUUGAAUCGUUACCUGAGCCGCCGAAUCACCGCCAAAGGUGAGCUUUCGUUUGGUGAGGCGAAGGGAGAGGAUUGAAUCGUUACCUGAGCCGCCGAAUCACCGCCAAAGGUGAGCUUUCGUUUGGGAUUUUCCUUUUAAAUCUCUGUUUUAUUUCGUCUUUGGGUGUGAGAUUGUGAGAGACAGAUGAAUGAUUGGGGGUGAGAGAGAGGGUUGAGGUUGAGGACGCGUUU
rnacentral:lncRNA from 1 species